rnacentral:pre_miRNA from 1 species
CGAACAUUGGGACCGUCGGUAGACCGAGCAAUUUCACCAGCUCGAUGCAAGAUUUUCUCUUUGUGGU